rnacentral:misc_RNA from 1 species
AUGCUUAACUGCUCUUUCAAUGGUAGCAAAAUCCUUAGGAAGCUUCUUAAUGACUUUUACAUCAUUGGAAAGAGCAUGAAUAAAAUGAUCUUCAUCAAAAAUAUCCGAGAAGUUGCUAGAGUCUUUCCAAAAUGAAUGUUUGUCAAGUUCGGGAAUCACGAGGGUUGCAUUAAUUAUACGUGCUAUUGCAACCAUGUCACAUAUCCCAG